GACGUAGGGCGCGAGCGUUGUCCGGAUUUAUUGGGCGUAAAGAGCUCGUAGGCGGUUUGUCACGUCGGCUGUGAAAACCCGGGGCUCAACCCCGGGCCUGCAGUCGAUACGGGCAAACUAGAGUUCGGCAGGGGAGACUGGAAUUCCUGGUGUAGCGGUGAAAUGCGCAGAUAUCAGGAGGAACACCGGUGGCGAAGGCGGGUCUCUGGGCCGAUACUGACGCUGAGGAGCGAAAGCGUGGGGAGCGAACAGG
rnacentral:rRNA from 1 species